rnacentral:rRNA from 1 species
UACGGAGGGUGCAAGCGUUGUUCGGAAUUACUGGGCGUAAAGCGCGUGUAGGCGGUCACCUAAGUCUGAUGUGAAAGCCCGGGGCUUAACCCCGGAAGUGCAUUGGAAACUGGGCGACUCGAGUGCCGGAGAGGAGGGUGGAAUUCCUGGUGUAGCGGUGAAAUGCGUAGAUAUCAGGAGGAACACCGGUGGCGAAGGCGGCCCUCUGGACGGAUACUGACGCUGAGACGCGAAAGCGUGGGGAGCAAACAGG